UUAUAUUACAGAUAGGAGAUUAGACUGUAUAUCUGUGUAACUGAAUGAAAGUUUAAGUGUUAUGUAAGAAUACCAGCUACAGAGCCACUAUUAUAGUGGUAUUUUUUUAA
ncrna:unclassified sequences DTF3800-I RNA